rnacentral:rRNA from 1 species
GAUGAACGCUGGCGGCGUGCCUAAUACAUGCAAGUCGAACGCACCAUUUCGGUGGUGAGUGGCGAACGGGUGAGUAAAAGAUAAGUAACCUGCCCUAGGCAGGGGGAUAACGACCGGAAACGGACGCUAAAACCGCAUAGGCUGGGAGAUCGCAUGAGAAUCCAGUUAAAUGUCCUGAAAGGGACAGGCAAAGGAGGGACUUAUCACGCAUUAGCUAGUUGGUGGGGCAACGGCCUACCAAGGCGACGAUGCGUAGCCGGCCUGAGAGGGCGGACGGCCACACUGGGACUGAGACACGGCCCAGACUCCUACGGGAGGCAGCAGUAGGGAAUUUUCGGCAAUGGGCGAAAGCCUGACCGAGCAACGCCGCGUGAACGAAGAAGGUCUUCGGAUUGUAAAGUUCUGUUAUAGAGGAAGAACGGUGUACGUAGGAAAUGACGUACAAGUGACGGUACUCUGUGAGGAAGCCACGGCUAACUACGUGCCAGCAGCCGCGGUAAUACGUAGGUGGCGAGCGUUAUCCGGAAUCAUUGGGCGUAAAGAGGGAGCAGGCGGCCUGGAGGGUCUAUUGUUAAAAGGCAAUGGCUUAACCAUUGUAAGGCGAAGAAACCGGCAGGCUAGAGUUCUAAAGAGGAUCGUGGAAUUCCAUGUGUAGCGGUGAAAUGCGUAGAUAUAUGGAGGAACACCAGUGGCGAAGGCGACGAUCUGGGAAGAAACAGACGCUGAGUCCCGAAAGCGUGGGGAGCAAAUAGGAUUAGAUACCCUAGUAGUCCACGCCGUAAACGAUGAGUACUAAGUGUUGGGGGUCAAACCUCAGUGCUGUAGUUAACGCAAUAAGUACUCCGCCUGAGUAGUACGUUCGCAAGAAUGAAACUCAAAGGAAUUGACGGGGGCCCGCACAAGCGGUGGAGCAUGUGGUUUAAUUCGAAGCAACGCGAAGAACCUUACCAGGUCUUGACAUCGAUCUAAAGGCCCUAGAGAUAGGGAGAUAGUUAUAGAGAAGACAGGUGGUGCAUGGUUGUCGUCAGCUCGUGUCGUGAGAUGUUGGGUUAAGUCCCGCAACGAGCGCAACCCUUGUCGUUAGUUACCAGCAGUAAGAUGGGGACUCUAACGAGACCGCCGGUGAGAAGCCGGAGGAAGACGGGGAUGACGUCAAAUCAUCAUGCCCCUUAUGACCUGGGCGACACACGUGCUACAAUGGUCGGUACAGAGAGAAGCGAAGCUGUGAAGUGGAGCGAACCUCAAAAAGCCGAUCGUAGUCCGGAUUGCAGUCUGCAACUCGACUGCAUGAAGCUGGAAUCGCUAGUAAUCGCAAGUCAGCCAUAUUGCGGUGAAUACGUUCUCGGGCCUUGUACACACCGCCCGUCACACCAUGAGAGUUGAUAACACCCGAAGCCGGUGGCCUAACGGAAACGAAGGAGCUGUCGAAGGUGGGAUUGAUGAUUGGGGUGAAGUCGUAACAAGGUAUCCCUACGGGAACGUGGGGAUGGAUCACCUCCUUUCUAAGGAGAAAAGAAAAAAAGACGUUGGAGAAGAUAUUGUUUAGUUUUGAGUGUAAAAGCUCAAAGGAAGAGGUCAUUGAAAACUGAAUAUAACGAAACGAUAGAGAGAAAAGUUUGAAGAAGAAAAGAGAGAUCUUUUUGAAAAGUCGAAGAGAGUAAACGAAGAAAACGACACCAAACAAAGAUUCAAGAGAAAAAGAAAAACUCACAAGUGGUUAAGGAAGCAAGAGCUUAUGGGGAAUGCCUGGGCACUGUAAGGCGAAGAAGGACGCAGCAAACGGCGAAACGCUUCGGGGAGUGGUAAGCACACAAAGAACCGGAGAUAUCCGAAUGGGGAAACCCGUACACUAAAGGUGUACAUCGAGUAUUGUAAUGAUACGAGAAGCGAAACUCAGGGAACUGAAACAUCUAAGUACCUGAAGGAAAAGAAAGUAAAAACGAUUUUCAGAGUAGUGGCGAGCGAAAAGGAAAGAGCCCAAACCGAACUGAGGUUCGGGGUUAUAGGACAGCUAAAGAAAGUUAACUUAACGUUCUAGUAGAACAGUCUGGGAAGGCUGGCGAAACAAGGUGAGAGCCCUGUAUACGAAAGAGCGAAGAGAAACGAAGCUGAAUCCUGAGUACGUCGGGACACGAGGAAUCCAGACGGAAGGAUCGAGGACCAUCUCGAAAGGCUAAAUACUAGACAGUGACCGAUAGCGAACA